rnacentral:rRNA from 1 species
GAGUUUGAUCUUGGCCUCAGAUUGAACGCUGGCGGCAUGCCUUACACAUGCAAGUCGAACGGCAGGCACGGGAGCUUGCUCCUGGUGGCGAGUGGCGAACGGGUGAGUAAUGCAUCGGAACGUAUCCUGGAGUGGGGGAUAACGUAGCGAAAGUUACGCUAAUACCGCAUAUUCUGUGAGCAGGAAAGCGGGGGACCUUCGGGCCUCGCGCUCUUGGAGCGGCCGAUGUCGGAUUAGCUAGUUGGUGAGGUAAAGGCUCACCAAGGCGACGAUCCGUAGCAGGUCUGAGAGGAUGAUCUGCCACACUGGAACUGAGACACGGUCCAGACUCCUACGGGAGGCAGCAGUGGGGAAUUUUGGACAAUGGGGGCAACCCUGAUCCGAGCCAUGCCGCGUGAGUGAAGAAGGCC